GCCUAUAAAGUCAAAAAGAGACAUUGGUCUUGUAAACCAAAGAUUGAUUUAUUAUCUAUGGGCU
rnacentral:tRNA from 2 species